ensembl:snoRNA SNORD22 Small nucleolar RNA SNORD22
UCCCAAUGAAGAAACUUUCACAUGUCUUACUCUCUGUCCUAGUCCCAGAGCCUGUAAAGGUGAACCCACUGGGACUGGCUGGGGGAGAAGAGGAAGCUUUGUUCCACAAGGAACUGUCUGAGGGAC